rnacentral:rRNA from 1 species
AACGAACGCUGGCGGCAGGCCUAACACAUGCAAGUCGAACGCCGUAGCAAUACGGAGUGGCAGACGGGUGAGUAACGCGUGGGAACAUACCCUCCGGUUCGGAAUAACUCAGGGAAACUUGAGCUAAUACCGGAUACGUCCAAGGUUUUAAUCGGCCUUGGAGAAAGAUUUAUCGCUGGAGGAUUGGCCCGCGUCUGAUUAGCUUGUUGGUGAGGUAAUGGCUCACCAAGGCGACGANCAGUAGCUGGUCUGAGAGGAUGAUCAGCCACAUUGGGACUGAGACACGGCCCAAACUCCUACGGGAGGCAGCAGUGGGGAAUAUUGGACAAUGGGCGAAAGCCUGAUCCAGCCAUGCCGCGUGAGUGAUGAAGGCCUUAGGGUGUAAAGCUCUUUACCCGGGAAGAUAAUGACGGUACCGGGAGAAUAAGCCCCGGCUAACUUCGUGCCAGCCGCCGCGGUAAC